GUCUUAUUGUAAAUAAUUUUAAAGUUCUGACCUGCCCAAUGAAUAGAUUAAAUGGCCGCAGUAUAUUGACUGUGCAAAGGUAGCAUAAUCAUUAGUUUUUUAAUUGAAAGCUUGUAUGAAAGGUUUGAUAAGAAAAUAUCUGUCUCUAUAAAAAUUUAUUAGAAUUUUAUUUUUAAGUGAAAAAGCUUAAAUUUUAAUAGAAGACGAGAAGACCCUAUAGAGUUUUAUACUAUUAUUAUAGAUAUUUAAUUUGAAGAGUAAGAAGAAUUAUUUAAAUAUUAGUAUUUUAUUGGGGUGAUAAAAAAACUUAAUUAACUUUUUUUUUAUUUGAACAUUAAUUUAUGAUUUAUUGAUCCUUGAAUAAAGAUUAGAAGAAUAAAUUACCUUAGGGAUAACAGCGUAAUUUUUUCUAGAGUUCUUAUUGAAGAGAAAGAUUGCGACCUCGAUGUUGGAUUAAAAUAUAUUAUUGGUGUAGAAGCUAAUAUUAUUAGGUCUGUUCGACCUUUAAAAUUUUACAUGAUCUGAGUUUAAACCGGUGUGAG
rnacentral:rRNA from 1 species